AAAUAAGUGGAAAGUGAAUGUGUUUAGAAACAAAGAGAUCUUUAAAUUUCAAAAUGAUGCUAUCCAAAUGUAGGCCUAACAAUUUAGAGAUAUUUGAGGUGGACCAAGAGUGUGCGGUGAUUAUAGGUCUACCAGUAAGAGAGGAUAAGUUAGAAGAAGAGGCAAUAGAAGAGAGUUUAUGUACUUUAGGGAGCAGUUUCAUGUAAGGUAAUUGAAUAUUUGUAGAGGAAAGAGGGUUGAGUAGAGCUUUGUCAUCAUCCGAGACUAGAUUGUUGAAACGAGAUUUUAAUUUUCCAAGUAUUGCGUUGCAUUCUGUGGUGUGUAAAUCCAGAUUAAAAUCUUCAAUAAUCUUGUAAAUGUUAGCAUCUUUCAGGUGUCUUGCGUAUUCAUUGAUGUACCAGGAUAUUGGUAGAAGAGCCCAACCCAUAUUUUUAUCCGAUUGUGUGAUGACUAUGUCUUGAUUGCAUUGUAUAUCAUACAGUUGCAGUGAGGUGGAAUCUUUAAGUGAUGCAGGAUUAAGGUUAGUAGAGGUUGGUAUGAAAUUGGUGCCUUUGUUAAGGAUGCUGGUAACGCCCAAAGGUAAGGUGAUAUCAGUGAAAUUAUGAAUUUUGUUCGUAUGUAAUGUUUUCAUUUUUUCUUUGACGGUAAAGGUUUUCCUUUCAUCAUUAACUUUAUUUUUAAGCUUUGAUGCUAAACCAUUCUUAGUAAUAAUUGACCUGUUUUGUAUGAAACCAUUGAAUGUAGAUAAAGAUU